GUGGGGAAUCUUCCGCAAUGGACGAAAGUCUGACGGAGCAACGCCGCGUGAGUGAUGAAGGUUUUCGGACUGUAAAGCUCUGUUGUUUAGGACGAAAGUGCCUGUUGCAAAUAGUUACAGGUAUUGACGGUACUGAACGAGGAAGCCACGGCUAACUACGUGCCAGCAGCCGCGGUAAUACGUAGGUGGCAAGCGUUGUCCGGAAUUAUUGGGCGUAAAGAGCAUGUAGGCGGGAAUCUAAGUCUGUUGUGAAAAUGCGGGGCUCAACCCCGUAUUGCGAUGGAAACUGGGUUUCUUGAGUGCAGGAGAGGAAAGGGGAAUUCCCAGUGUAGCGGUGAAAUGCGUAGAUAUUGGGAGGAACACCAGUGGCGAAGGCGCCUUUCUGGACUGUGUCUGACGCUGAGAUGCGAAAGCCAGGGUAGCGAACGGGAUUAGAUACCCGGGUAGUCC
rnacentral:rRNA from 1 species